ACUGAGGCUCAGAUAACAGGCAAUUAACUUUAGCCUUUUGGUGGAAACUCACCGUUCUUAGGCUGCCAUAAUUUCUUUCAUCUCAAUUUAAUAAUUUAUUUUGUUCAUGUUUAUGCAAAGACUUUUAAAACUCCAUUGUUUGCUGAAUUAAGAGUCUUUUAAAAGGAAAGAUGCUCUGCUGGAUUCUAGUUCAGUGUGGAAGACAGAAGAUCCUCAGUGGGCAAGAACAAAAUUCUCUUCAAGCUUUUGGCAUCACUGAAUCUAUUCUAAAUAAUCUGAAUUAAAAACAGAAAUGGCACAUGUAGAACAGAGCAAUGCAUAAGGAACAAAGACCUCAAAUGUGGCAGGCUCUAUGCCAGCCUGUUGCUUCAAUCUACAUCAUAUUACAGUGCAUAACUGGUUCUUUAUUUAAAGCAAAGAGUCUGGAAUUUCUAAAAUUGAGAGCCAUUCUCAUGAAAUCGUGCGAGCAUCACGCAAAUGAGAUUCUUUUUGACCUAUCAUUGUACUGAAAGACACACCUGUCAACGGCCAAAGGCAAAGCAGAUUGGUCUGCAGUAAAGAAUGCACCUGCGCAGGGGAGGGGUGGGAGCUGCAUGUAAGUAGAAACUCUCUCGACGUCCCCUGUCUCUUUGCUUCUUCACCUCGUUCGAGCAACAUCACUUCGAUUGCCUCCGAGUUUCUGUAUGUGAAGUUGGAGAACAGAGAGUUGCUUUUGUUAAAUUUAUUUUUGAAUAGUUUUGAAGUAGAGGCGUCAUGGUUUCUUUUUGUUAGCUAUUAAGUUGCAGAGAAUUCAUCUGCGAAGUUCUUCCCAAUCAACAAGUGGAGUCAUCAGACAACAAAGAAAAUCAUCUUUGCUGCAACGUGAAAGCCAUGACUUGUGAAAGUUUUCAGUUUUUGAAGCAUUUGUGGAGUGAAAGGUUAAAGUGCUUGCAGGCACAGAAUUAAAGCAUUCUGUUUGUUUCAUCGUCUUGCUGACCUUGACAUGUAGGUAUAUUGGUUAAACUAGGAGGUCAGUUGUGAAGCGGAAAUAAUACUGGUAGAAUAAAAACCUCUUAUUCUUAGUUUGGUGAGUUGUUCGGUAGCGUUGAGCAUUAUUUUGUAACUGUAGGGAAAUAAUGUAAGUAGUGUCAGUCUCUUGUCAGUAUCUGUUAGAUGGAAAAGGCUGACACAAGAAUUGAAACGUGUCUCUUUCAACCAGUUUAACCAGUCGGGGCAGGUAAAGACAGCGUGGAGAAACCCAAGGAUGGAGAUCUGAAAGUAAAGCCUCAUUUAGCCUUUGAAGUCAGCAGCUUCAGGAAUUACUGUUUCUUAGAAGUUGCAUAUACGUAAAAUGCUCUCCCAAGGAGGUUCGGACAGCUUUUUAUCCAUUCAUAUUGUUUUUAUGUGGGCAGACAUAUAUAAGAAAAGGAAGGCUACAGUACUGAACAUGUGGCUUAGAGAACUCAAAGAUUGUUUUAGUAGGUCUUUUAUUAAAUUGAAACUUUUGGCUAAUUUUCAAACAUAACUUUAGGAGUACCAUAGUUUUUUUUGAGAAGUAUUUAAUGUUUAGCUAUUUACCAACAAGUUUAAAAACACACUUUCAAAUCUAUUCUGUUUUUGUCCUGUUGGAUGAAUUUUCUGGAUUGUCUUGAUUGAGGCCCUACUCCAAGCUUGGCUUGUUGUUACUUGUUUAGUAUGAGAUAGAGUUCUAAAGUCUUCAGACAAAAGAAUACUACCUUUCUGUUUACCUUGGUAAGCUAGUACCUUAGACUAGACACAAUAUCGAGCUCAAAGGUGCAAUUUCUUUGUUCAACUUCAUGGUUGCGAAGAGCAUUUUAGUUUUCCCGAUGCAAAUGUUCUCUUGGUUUCUUUAUCUAGCUAUCCCAAACUGCUCAACUAAGAUGAGUUUACUCAACGGGGCAAAAGGCCUUGUAAAUAGAACCUAUUGUCACAAUUUUAGAUAUGUGAGUUUUUAAAAAUUCUGAAUCCUUCAACUUAUUACUGGAUGAGUAAGAAGCAUUUACCUCCACUUUACCCCAGUGAAGACUUUAAUAGUGUUCCAGACGAGUAGAGAUGCUUGUAGAAAUUAUAAUAUCUUGACCUUCGACAGAAAUAGUUUAAAAAACAUUUGUAGAAUGAGUUGAUAUUUUAUUUUAAUGUGUCUAAAUAUUUUUACGUAAUGUUGAUAGAUUAUUAGUUUUAGCUGUUGCUUCAGCUAUAUUUGACUGCAAUUUAUUAUUUUCAUUUGAUUUGCUAAUUCCCAUAAUAACACAAAAUUGCACUUUGUUAAAGUUAAGCUAUUUACAUUUUUAUUUUCACGUCAGCUAUUUGUAAAAUUUAGUUCCACAUACAA